CUCCAUCCUCCAUCCCCCAAUUCAAUCUUAUCCAUCUUCCUCUCCCUCGUUCGCCGCCACCACCGGCAACCUUGGUGCCCCUCUCCCUAACCGCCACCGCCCCCACCCUCUCCCCCGUCCCCCGCUCUCACCUUCUGUCCUUAAACUAGGCGUCCCCCAGAACGAGAAUGUUGAGGCGCUUCCUGAUUUGCGGCGGCUGCUUCCGAAUCCGCCGAGCAGCGCCAGAGGUCGGCUCCUUCUCCGCGUUGUUCUGCGCCAAGGUGAGGCACUCAAUACCGUGGCCGGAUGGAGGUUGGGCGAUUUCCUUCCCUGACCUCGCUGCCUAGCCACUCCACCGCGAGCUUCUCGCCCCCAGCGGCGUACAAGACGUCCUCCUCCUCGAUGCAGCCAUUCCCAAUGAGUUCUCUUUGCCGGAAGAGGUGCAGAAGCAAGUCCAGCACCCCCUUCGCCCCUGCAUCCUGUCCUACAUCGCCUGGACGAGCUCACUGAUGGUUGCGUCCUUACCUCCUAGCGUGAUAUUGGUUUAUGGGAUCAUUUUCAAUAACAAAGAUAUGACGAGCAGAUCCACGGCCAGGAAUGCGGGGUCCCUUGGUUGUACGACGAGCAUUGUGCGUUGCCUGAUGGGUGUGGUGCUGGCUGUAGAGUAGCAUAGUGUUCUCCGAGGCAUGCCUGUGGAAUUAAUCUUUUUUGGGUUCUUUUUUUGCUCCUGUACAGGUGUAUCUGGGGUGUGUUUAUGUAAUUUUUUGUUUUUAAGGACCUGAGCAUAUAUUUUCUUUUAAAUUAUUAUUGGCUUAAAAUUUCCAUGGACCAAGAGAAA